rnacentral:pre_miRNA from 1 species
AUCGUACUCCCUCCGUUCCAAAUUACUCGUCGUAGAAAUGGAUGUAUCUAGAACUAAAAUACAUCUAGAUACAUCCAUUUAUGCGACGAGUAAUUUGGAACGGAGGGAAUACUUG